GCGGCACCGUCCCCCUCACGUCAGUUUAUGGUAAAUCCGUGUCCACUCCUGCUUUACCGAAGGCGUCUAUCGCCUCUAUAAUCCGCCGUGUGAACCGGGAUGCUGGGGGAUCCAUGAAGCCGUAGGAUCCGGGGCAUGCUUCUGUCACCACCAGAAAAUGAAUGUUGUUUAUGCCUCGCCUGUAUCUCUCUUUAGCGGGUAACACGCAGCAGUACUGUCUGCAUGAGAGAGGUUCCUUAAAAUUUUAGCCGUUUUUUUAUUUUUAUUCUUUAACGGUUAGAAGGAGCCAGACACAGGGAACAAGCCGCGGCCGCUUGACAGGUGCUGUCGCCCGGCUCUGCGUGGAGAGAGAUGCCGCCCGUCCAGAGAACCAUGUCGGACCUUCGCAGCCGAGCAGAGGGAUAUGAAAAGACAGAGGACACCGCAGAAAAGACGUCCUUAGCUGACCAGGAAGAUGCCCGGAUGAUAUACCUCAACCAGCCGCAGUUUGCCAAGUUUUGCAACAAUCGAGUCAGCACAGCCAAAUAUAACGUCCUCACCUUCCUCCCCCGAUUCCUCUACUCGCAGUUCAGACGAGCAGCAAAUGCCUUCUUUCUCUUCAUUGCACUGUUGCAGCAAAUCCCAGAUGUGUCUCCCACCGGUCGCUGGACCACACUGGUGCCGCUGCUCUUCAUCCUGGUGGUGGCUGCUGUGAAGGAGUUCAUUGAGGAUCUGAAACGUCACAAUGCUGACAGCAUUGUCAACAAAAAGGAAUGUCAAGUUCUGAGGAACGGUGCCUGGGAGAUCGUGCACUGGGAGAAGGUGGCAGUUGGGGAAGUAGUCAGAGCUUCAAACGGGGAUCACCUCCCGGCUGACCUCGUCAUACUGUCGUCCAGUGAACCACAGGGAAUGUGCUACAUUGAAACCUCUAACUUGGAUGGAGAAACAAACCUUAAAAUCAGACAGGGUCUCCAAGUGACCUCAGACAUACGGGACAUCGACAGCCUGAUGCGUCUCUCUGGGAAGAUGGAGUGUGAGAGCCCAAACCGCCAUCUGUACGAGUUUGUGGGGAACCUCCGCCUGGACGGACACAGUACAAUUCCACUGGGUCCAGAUCAGAUCUUACUGAGAGGAGCCCAGCUGAGGAACACUCAGUGGGUCCAUGGUGUGGUGGUCUACACAGGACAUGACACCAAGCUCAUGCAGAAUUCCACUCGGCCUCCUCUGAAGCUGUCCAACGUGGAGCGUAUCACCAACUUUCAGAUCCUGGUGCUGUUCGGCUGCCUGCUGGCCAUCUCUCUGGUCUGCUCCAUCGGCCAAACCAUCUGGAAGUACCAGUACGGCAACGAUGCCUGGUACAUGGAUCUCAACUAUGGCGGCGCGGCUAACUUUGGCCUUAACUUCCUCACCUUUAUCAUCCUGUUCAACAACCUGAUUCCCAUCAGUCUCCUGGUCACACUGGAGGUUAUCAAGUUCAUCCAAGCCUUUUUCAUCAACUGGGACACCGACAUGCUUUAUGAGCCCACCAACACACCUGCCAUGGCUCGCACCUCUAACCUGAAUGAAGAACUAGGCCAGGUGAAAUACAUUUUCUCUGACAAGACGGGGACCCUGACCUGCAACGUGAUGCAGUUUAAGAAAUGCACCGUCGCCGGUGUGGCCUAUGGCCACGUCCCUGAGGCUGAGGAUGGUAGUUUUGCAGAGGACGACUGCCACAGCACCAACUCAUCGGAAGAGGAGGGAUUUAAUGACCCGAGCUUACUGGAAAACCUCCAAAGUAAUCAUCCUACAGCUGCUGUCAUCCUGGAGUUCAUGACCAUGAUGGCCAUCUGUCACACUGCGGUCCCCGAGCGCAUCGAUGGAAAAAUCACCUACCAGGCUGCAUCUCCAGAUGAAGGAGCACUGGUGAGAGCAGCAAAAAACCUUGGCUUUGUGUUUUCCGGUCGAACACCAGACAGCGUGAUUGUGGAAAUGCCCGGGACAGAGGAGAAGUACGAACUCCUUCAUGUGCUGGAGUUUACAAGCACGAGGAAGAGGAUGUCAGUCAUCAUGCGCACUCCAUCUGGGAAGAUCCGCCUCUACUGCAAAGGAGCUGACACAGUGAUCUAUGACCGCCUGGCAGACAGCUCUAGGUACAAAGAGAUCACACUGAAGCACCUGGAACAGUUUGCUACGGAGGGACUGCGCACUCUGUGCUUUGCGGUGGCCGACGUCAGUGAGUCGUCCUAUCAGCAGUGGCUGGAGAUCUUCCACAGAGCCGGCACCUCCCUGCAGAACAGAGCCCUGAAGCUGGAGGAGAGCUACGAACUGAUAGAGAAGAACCUGCAGCUGCUCGGGGCCACCGCCAUCGAAGACAAGCUCCAGGAUAAAGUGCCAGAAACCAUCGAGACACUGAUGAAGGCGGACAUCAAGAUCUGGAUCCUGACAGGGGACAAACAGGAAACAGCUAUUAACAUUGGACAUUCCUGCAAACUACUGACCAAGAACAUGGGCAUGCUUGUGGUCAAUGAAGACACUCUUGAUAGAACGAGGGAAACGCUAAGCCACCACUGUGGAGUCCUGGGAGAUGCCCUCUACAAGGAGAACGACUUUGCUCUCAUUAUUGACGGGAAGACUCUGAAAUACGCGCUCACAUUCGGAGUGCGACAGUACUUCCUGGACCUCGCGCUGUCCUGUAAAGCUGUCAUUUGCUGCAGAGUCUCUCCUCUUCAGAAGUCAGAGGUGGUGGAGAUGGUGAAGAAACAGGUGAAGGUGAUCACGCUGGCUAUCGGUGACGGUGCUAACGACGUGGGAAUGAUUCAGACGGCUCAUGUCGGCGUAGGAAUCUCAGGCAACGAGGGUCUGCAAGCCGCAAACUCCUCCGACUACUCUAUUGCCCAGUUCAAAUACUUGAAGAAUCUGCUGCUCGUCCACGGAGCCUGGAAUUACAACCGUGUAGCCAAGUGCAUCCUGUACUGCUUCUACAAGAAUAUUGUCCUCUACAUCAUUGAGAUCUGGUUUGCGUUUGUCAAUGGCUUCUCAGGCCAGAUCCUAUUCGAACGCUGGUGCAUCGGCUUAUACAAUGUGAUCUUCACUGCUUUGCCUCCUCUCACUCUGGGAAUAUUUGAGCGUUCCUGCAGGAAAGAAAACAUGCUGAAAUACCCAGAACUCUACAAAACCUCCCAGAAUGCAAUGGGCUUUAAUACCAAGGUCUUCUGGGCCCAUUGUCUGAACGGCCUCUUCCACUCCGUCAUCCUCUUCUGGAUCCCCCUUAAAGCCUUCCAGCAUGAUACAGUGUUUGGCAACGGAAGAACUCCAGACUAUCUCCUCUUAGGCAACAUGGUUUACACAUUUGUGGUCAUCACAGUUUGUCUUAAAGCCGGCCUCGAGACCUCGUCCUGGACCAUGUUCAGUCACAUCGCCAUCUGGGGAAGCAUCGGCCUGUGGGUGGUGUUUUUCAUUAUCUACUCCUCCCUGUGGCCCCUCAUCCCUCUGGCUCCCGACAUGUCAGGAGAGGCGGAGAUGAUGUUCAGUUCGGGGGUCUUCUGGACGGGCCUGGUCUUCAUCCCAAUCACCUCGCUGGUCUUUGACGUGGCCUACAAAGUAGUAAAGAAGGUGUGUUUCAAGACCCUGGUGGACGAGGUGCAGGAGCUUGAAGCGUUGUCCAAAGACCCUGGAGCUGUGGUGCAUGGAAAGAGUUUGACGGAGAGAGCCCAGCUCCUGAAGAACGUCUUCAAGAAGAGCACCGUCAGUUUGUACCGGUCCGACUCCAUGCAGCAGAAUCUGCUCCGUCGGGCUGAGACCGUUGUUGUGUGAUACCCUUUUUAAUUUUCAUUAAUCAAACCUCCUCCCGUUUAGAGCCUCCUCUAGCUACCUGAUAGUCGCCUCUCUCACUCUUUUUUCCUGGUUGUUCACUUCCUGUCCUUCCUUUCGUGUGCCUGAGUUGAGUUCAGUAGAGUGACAUUUUGAUGAAGUUAUCAUAUGUUGCGCUGUUAUUCCCCCACAAUGCACUCGUCUCAGCGGGGUCCUUUGAACAUCCCCGCUGGCCUCCAGGUAGUGACCGAGUCAUUUGACACCUGAAGAUGGCUACGCCUUCUCUCAAGAUGAGAACGGAGUGGUGUCUCAGUCUGAGGUCAUCAGAGCGUACGACACCACCAAAGAGAGGACCAACGAGUGGUGAGCAGCCGUCCUUCUGGUCGGCCUCUCCAGAGCCACAGCAGCCGUUUCUAAUGGUGAUAUUUACCGGGGGAAGACGAGGUGCGAGAGAGUGCCUCCAGCAUUGAGGGAAUUUUAGGAAUAUGAAACGGACAGAACGUCUUUGAAAAAGGGAAAAAAAAAAAGGAACAAAACAAAUUGUGUUCACUAUCAGCUGUAGUUGUGUGUCCAGCAGACACGAUGAGCUCUGUGCUUUCUUAGCAGCCUGUGGUCUGAAGUUCUUCACUGUUCUCGCUCAGUUUGUUGGAAUGAACGUCUCCUCUCUAUUCAAAAUCAUCUAAAAUCAUUUAAUUAACUUUAACUCCUAAACACUGGAAGAUGAUUGGUUUCAGAGGAUGAAAACUUGUGAAAGAUUGCCAAAGAGCAGUCGUUAAUACACUCUUCCAAGUACUAGUGAAUUCGGACAACUUUAACCAAAUGUACUCACACUCCUGAGUGUAUUCCAGCACUAAACGGACCACUUCAGAGCAGACAUUGUAAUAUUUAACUUUUCUUUUUGCACUUAAGGAAGCAUCUAUUGUGUAAAGCCUUACAUUUGCUCAUGCCUUUAUCCUUGUUUCUAUAACAAAACAUUUGUUUCUUUUUUAGUUUCAUUUUUAAAAAGUAUGUAGAUAUCGUGCCUGGUUUUAUUUUAUUUUGUUCCUUCUUUUCAUUUCUUUGCUUAAGAAGUUGCCUCCUGCAACUCACUGUAGUCCUGUUUUCACCGUUUUAACAGCAGAAGCAUUGCUCUCGACAAAUAAUUGCAUUCCACACAUCACUCCUGUCUCAACAAUCACAACGGUGCCUACGUAGAACCUUUCCCUAAUAGAUAGCCAAGAAUAGUUUAGCCAGCUAGCUUAGACCAGUGCUCCACACACUCCUACUGAAGACACAAUCACUGUCUCCCCACCACAGUAUUGCACUUGUACAAUGUGAAAACUACUGUGCCUUGUGGCACGUGUGUAAACUUUUAAGAUUUGUUCCUGCGCAGGUGAACGAAUGGGAGGCUCUCUGAUGGUGUUGUUGGAGCUGGUGAUAGUGUUUCCCUUAAAAUGGAGAUUUUAUCCUUCUAACAUAAGUGCCAUUAGCUUAAGGGAGAGAGAAAUAUUAGCCAGGAACUCACAACAAUAUCAAAACUACUUUGUCUCUAUAGUUAUUUUGUGGAUUUGUAUUUUUAUAUUGGAGAUGUAUGAAUUUUGCAUCGACUGGCUUUGUAAUGAACUGUCUGUAACUUUUAGUUGUUUUUCAUCCUCUGAUAAACUGGCAGGAUAGAAAAGAUCGAAUGAGGAAACUGAGCUUUCUUAAAUGUCUUGUUAUUAUUAAUAUUGUUACAGCGCAAUUUAUUUAUAAUUGACUACUUAAUGUCCUGUGUGAUUGCUUUCUUCUCCCUAUGGGAGAUCAAAUCUGAUGGUUUGUGUGAGUGUGUCAGUGUAUUGUCUGCAUGUGCAUGUGCUGUGUGUGUGUGUGUGUGUGUGUGUGUGUGUGUGUGUGUGUGUGUGUGUGUGUGUGUGUGUGUGUGUGUGUGUGUGUGUGUGUGUGUGUGUGUGUGUGUGUGUGUGUGUGUGUGUGUGUGUGUGUGUGUGUGUGUGUGUGUGUGUGUGUGUCACCUCUACUGUGGAUAACCUCUAUGUAUGCAUUGCAUGUCUGUGUCCUUUAUGUGAGACUGGGAGUUUUUGGCGUCCACUGAUGUUUCUUUUGUCGUGUGUGUGAGAGAAUGAAUGUGUGUGUGUGGCUUGCUCCAGUUGUCCGUCUGCACGACUCCAGUAUAGCUAUGGUGUACUACUGUGUGCUGACGCAUGUCCCGUUUGGGGAAGUUUGUGUGUGUGUUUGUUAGUGUGCGGUAUGACUGUGUGUGCGGUCAAACUCUCGACCAGGACUGUGAGAGUUUCUGUUACUCAGCUCGCUUCGACAGGAGAUGUUGCACAAUGCACUCGAUGUACCUUUCCAGUAGUGGACAUCUGGUAUUAUCUGGUUUUCAGUAUAGGAUUUCUCUUGCGUGUAAAUGUUUGUAACUUGUUUUCUUCAUGCAGUGUACCUCUGCUUUGCAGGAAAACUCUUCAGUGAGAGUUAAUGAUAUUUUUUCUCUGCUGGUCUUUAGUGUUGAAUCUUAAUUGGUCGUCCAAAGUUUCCAAUACGCUGAAUGUGGACUGUUGCUUUCUUUUUCCAGAAAACAUAAAACACACGUUGUUGUCUGUGAAAGUCGUGGGCUGCAUGAAUGGAAAACACAAACUGUUCUCUGAAAUGUUUAACUGUACUACUUUAAUUCUCCCUCAAGUGUUGAUCACUUUACAAAAGAGAAAAAAACGCACCUUUAACUUUACUUUAAAAUAUUUGUUUCUUUUUUCCGUCAUUUCGUUCGAUGAUUGUUCUGCAUGUUGGGACUGCAAACUUAUAAGUGUUGUCUUUUACUGCCAUGAAGGACUACUGAAAUAAACUUUACAAUCAUGGAGGAA